rnacentral:lncRNA from 1 species
AUGAAAGAGAAUUGGAAGAUUUCUGUAAGUUGUGGCAGUCUAGCCCUCAAAUCUUCCAAAGUUCUCUUUACAAAUGGCUCUGAGAUCGAAAGCUUCAUUCCUCUCCAUCAAGUAAUAUCUCUCUUCAAAACUGGUCUUUGCCCAGGUCUCCCUAUCUCACUGUAUGGCUACUCAAAGUAUGGGAAAGGAAAAGGUAUGUUGCCUUGAAAGGACUAUCAUUCAUAGAUUUCACUAGUCUCAGAUCAAUCCAACAGAAUGCCUAAUAUCAGGAAGAUUGCAUGAAGUCCAAUGAGCUAAAAAAAAAAAAAAGUAACUAAUGCUAGUGGAAUUGUGUCUUACAAAUGUUAAGAUUUCUUAGGUGGUUAGAUAUUUGACCAGAUAUGUAGUGCUUAAAUUUUUUACAGUUUCAUGUACUAUGUAAUAACAAUAUCAAAUUUCAAUGUUAGAGCCAGGAAUACAUAUGCAUCCUUAUAAGAUUUCUCAUUCCCACAUAGUCUGAUGGGAUUCCCUUUAUCAUACAGUAAAUCUCCAUUGGAUCCAUAAACAAACAUAAUGAUUUUCUUUUCUAGUAAAUACUUAAGUUCUUUGGUUAAAAUCAAAUUCAGCUUGGUGGUUGCAAAGAAUAUCUAAAGUCUUUUUCCCUCUGUAAUAGACUUUCCCCCCAUUAACGGGCAAAUUCUUAAACAUAAAGGAUUCUUAUAAAUAAAUGUUUAUAUUUAUAUUUCAUAUAAUGAAAUUUAAUUUCUUUAAAUUAAAUAUUUUCUUGCUAAACAUAUUUCAGGCAAUUAUUUGCAUUAUUCAGCUAACCACACAAUUAUGUGUAGGAAACAAAACAUUCUGUUCUUCAAUUGCUUGUACACUUUGUUGCUAAGUCAAACCAAAGCAGAAAAUUUAAGUAAUUAAGCAGAGUCCAGUUAAAGUGAAUUUUUGGGAGGAAUUAUCCAGGCAAUUCAGAGUACAAAUAAAUUUUUGUUUUUCUGUGUAUACUGGUUGGGGUUGGGGUGUAUGACAAUUAAUUUCUUUAGCCAACUCAAUGGCCCUUAUUUUUGGAGAGUUCUAUAGUAAUAUCUAGUACGAUUAUC